rnacentral:rRNA from 1 species
ACUCCUGCGGGAGGCAGCAGUGGGGAAUUUUGGACAAUGGGGGCAACCCUGAUCCAGCAAUGCCGCGUGAGUGAAGAAGGCCUUCGGGUUGUAAAGCUCUUUUGUCAGGGAAGAAACGGUGGUGGCGAAUAACUACUACUAAUGACGGUACCUGAAGAAUAAGCACCGGCUAACUACGUGCCAGCAGCCGCGGUAAUACGUAGGGUGCAAGCGUUAAUCGGAAUUACUGGGCGUAAAGCGUGCGCAGGCGGUUGUGUAAGUCAGAUGUGAAAUCCCCGGGCUCAACCUGGGAAUUGCAUUUGAGACUGCACGGCUAGAGUGUGUCAGAGGGGGGUAGAAUUCCACGUGUAGCAGUGAAAUGCGUAGAUAUGUGGAGGAAUACCGAUGGCGAAGGCAGCCCCCUGGGAUAACACUGACGCUCAUGCACGAAAGCGUGGGGAGCAAACAGGAUUAGAAACCCGAGUAGUCCCAUG